rnacentral:misc_RNA from 1 species
UUUCCGUAGGUGAACCUGCGGAAGGAUCAUUACAGAGUUCAUGCCCUCACGGGUAGAUCUCCCACCCUUGAAUAUUUAUACCUUAGUUGCUUUGGCAGGCCGUGGAAACACCAUGGGCUCCGGCUUAUGCGUGCCUGCCAGAGGAAACAAACUCUGUUUUUAGCGAUGUCUGAGUACUAUAUAAUAGUUAAAACUUUCAACAACGGAUCUCUUGGUUCUG